rnacentral:rRNA from 1 species
AUUGAACGCUGGCGGCAGGCCUAACACAUGCAAGUCGAGCGGAGCGGCGGACGGGUGAGAAAUGCCUAGGAAUCUGCCUGGUAGUGGGGGAUAACGUCCGGAAACGGGCGCUAAUACCGUAUACUAUUAGAUGAGCCUAGGUCGGAUUAGCUAGUUGGUGGGGUAAAGGCCUACCAAGGCGACGAUCCGUAACUGGUCUGAGGGGAUGAUCAGUAACACUGGAACUUAGACACGGUCCAGAUUCCUACGGGAGGCAGCAGUGGGGACGAUUGGACAAUGGGCGAAAGCCUGAUCCAGCCAUGCCGCGUGUGUGAAGAAGGUCUUCGGAUUGUAAAGCACUUUAAGUUGGGAGGCGUUACCAACAGAAUAAGCACCGGCUAACAUCGUGCCAGCAGCCGCGGUAAUUC